rfam:Viridibacillus arenosi FSL R5-213 Contig012, whole genome shotgun sequence.
CCGUGCUAGGUGGGAAGGUAGCGGUGUCCUAUAACUCGCAAUCCGCUCUAGCGAGACUGAAGUCCUUUUCUAAGGCUGUCCGUAUGUUUGGUCUGCCUUUUGCACGUAGUGUUGACGAUUGGGUCCUACGCAAUGCGUACCCGCGAACCAUGUCAGGUCCGGAAGGAAGCAGCAUUAAGCGGCUUAUCGCAUGUGCCGUAGGGUUGCCUAAUCAGAGCUAACGACAAAAGUAACGCUUAUGUACGGCUGUCGAAGGAAGGUGCACGG